GACGAACGCUGGCGGCGUGCUUAACACAUGCAAGUCGAACGAAGAGCGACGGAAGCUUGCUUCUAUCAAUCUUAGUGGCGAACGGGUGAGUAACGCGUAAUCAACCUGCCCUUCAGAGGGGGACAACAGUUGGAAACGACUGCUAAUACCGCAUACGAUCUAAUCUCGGCAUCGAGGAUGGAUGAAAGGUGGCCUCUACAUGUAAGCUAUCACUGAAGGAGGGGAUUGCGUCUGAUUAGCUAGUUGGAGGGGUAACGGCCCACCAAGGCGAUGAUCAGUAGCCGGUCUGAGGGGAUGAACGGCCACAUUGGGACUGAGACACGGCCCAGACUCCUACGGGAGGCAGCAGUGGGGAAUCUUCCGCAAUGGACGAAAGUCUGACGGAGCAACGCCGCGUGAGUGAUGACGGCCUUCGGGUUGUAAAGCUCUGUUAAUCGGGACGAAAGGCCUUCUUGCGAAUAGUGAGAAGGAUUGACGGUACCGGAAUAGAAAGCCACGGCUAACUACGUG
rnacentral:rRNA from 1 species